AACGAACGCUGGCGGCAGGCCUAACACAUGCAAGUCGAGCGCGCCCUUCGGGGUGAGCGGCGGACGGGUGAGUAACGCGUGGGAAUAUGCCCUUCUCUACGGAAUAGUCCUGGGAAACUGGGGGUAAUACCGUAUACGCCCUUUGGGGGAAAGAUUUAUCGGGGAAGGAUUAGCCCGCGUUGGAUUAGGUAGUUGGUGGGGUAAUGGCCUACCAAGCCGACGAUCCAUAGCUGGUUUGAGAGGAUGACCAGCCACACUGGGACUGAGACACGGCCCAGACUCCUACGGGAGGCAGCAGUGGGGAAUCUUAGACAAUGGGGGCAACCCUGAUCUAGCCAUGCCGCGUGAGUGAUGAAGGCCUUAGGGUUGUAAAGCUCUUUCGCCGGGGAAGAUAAUGACGGUACCCGGUAAAGAAGUCCCGGCUAACUCC
rnacentral:rRNA from 1 species